rnacentral:lncRNA from 1 species
CACACAGUCAAGGAAUUUUAAAACGGAGAACUGGGGGACCACAAAAUGCUCUCAGAAAUUUAAAGGCCCAAGGAGGCUCGAGAUAAAUAACCAUUUCUCUUUCUUGAGGAACCCCUCUGGUUAUAAGUUUAUCCUACGCAAAGCCUCCCACUCACCCCCAGGGCAACUCCAGCCAGAGAGUGGAUAUGUGCUUCUGGACAGAGCUCUCAGUAUGGGUGGUCCUAGUGUCCCACUCCUUCAGCCUUGCUUCCUCUACUGAGACCAGCAAAGCCCUCACUCAGGAUAACAGCAGAGUUGGGAGCCACAG